rnacentral:lncRNA from 1 species
AGAGAUUGGAGAGAGACAGGAGAGAGACAUGUUUUCAUCUAUCCUUUGUGGACUUCUGUUGUUUUUACUGCUGUGAAAUUUGACUUGCGAUAUCUGCUUAAAGCAAUGAAGAGAAAAGCUGAAGUCAGUGAUUAGGAGUGUCUGUGUAAGUAAAAGCAACAGGCAAUUACUGAGUGUGGUGUGAGAGGCACGGAAAGAUUGGGAAUUCAGCAAGAAGAGGAAUUGAAGUCAAACCUCACCUACUUCCCAGAGUCUUCUGGAUUUUCUGUUAGAAGCUUCAGUAUCUGAGAUAUUCCUAUGCAUUCUACUGCUUUAAUCCCACCUAAGUAGAGAUGUCCACAACAGAGAGAAUGGAGCUGUCACAUCGUUUCAACUGCCCAGGUAGUUCCUACUGGAUGAAUGGGAUUGUCACCUUCACACCUGCUAGAGGCUUGGAGCAUGCAAGAGUUUUUUUAAAUGGCUUCACCUUUCUUAUGAAAAUGCAACCACUAGUACUCUUCCAAUAAAAGCUUUUCUCAAGUGAAAGGACUCAGGCAACAAAUAAACAGCUAAGAUUUUACUAGAGUAUGAAAGGGAGAGCACUGGAGUGCAGUGCGGGGAUGGAGAUGCAGCUGUGGUGGCUGGAAGUACAGGAGGGCAGCUGGAGGCACCUGGCCUCUGAAGCCUGUCUUCUUCAUCUGGGUGAGAUCUGCUGGAGUCAGGAAGGACUUCCUGCUGCAAGGAUAAAGACCUAAGAAGCAUCAUGACCUGAGAAACAGUUUCACAGGCCACUCUUGGCAGGUGAAGUGUGGUGGCGUAAUCAUGACUCACUGCAGCCUCGAACUCCGGGACUCAAGCUAAUCUCUUUCCUCAGCCUUCCCAGCAGCUGGGACUACAGAAUCCCACCCAUCCUAAGGCAUUACAUUUAGUCAUCAUAGCUCUUUCUUCACAGAAUUAGAAAAAACUACUUUAAAUUUCAUAUGGAACCAAAAAAGAGCCCAUAUAGCCAAGAAAAUCUUAAGCAAAAAGAACAAAGAUGGAGGCAUCAUGCUAACUGACUUCAAACUAUACUACAAGGCUACAGUAACCAAAACAGCAUGGUACUGGUGCCAAAACAGAUAUAUAGACCAAUGGAAUAGAACAGAGGCCUCAGAAAAACGUCACCCAUCUACAACCAUCUGAUCUUCAACAAAUCUGACAAAAACAAAUAAUGGGGAAGAAAUUCUGUAUUUAAUAAAUGAUCUUGGGAAAACUGGCUAGCCACAUGCAGAAAACUGAAGCUGGGCUCCUUCCUUACACCUUAUACAAAAAUUAACUCAAGAUGGAUUAAAGACUUAAACGUAAGACCUAAAACCAUAGAAACCCUAGAAGAAUACCUAGGCAAUACCAUUGAGGACACAGACAUGGGCAAAUGACUAAAGCAACAAAAGCCAAAAUUGACAAAUGGGAGCUAAUUAAACUAAAGAGCUUCUGAACAGCAAAAGAAACUAUCAUCAGAGUGAACAGGCAACCUACAGAAUGGGAGAAAAUUUUUGCAAUCUAUCCACCUGACAAAGGGCUAAUAUCCAGAAUCUACAAAUAACUUAAACAAAUUUACAAGAAAAAAAACAAACAACCCCAUCAAGAAGUGGGUGAAGGAUAUGAAAAGACACUUCUCAAAAGAAGACAUUUAUGUGGCCAACAAACAUGAAAAAAAGCUCAUCAUCACUGGGCAUUAGAGAAAUGCAAAUCAAAACCACAAUGAGAUACCAUCUCACGCCAGUUAGAAUGGCGAUCUUUAAAAAGUCAGGAAACAACAGAUGCUGGAGAGGAUGUGGAGAGAUAGGAAUGCUUUUACACUGUUGGUAGGAGUGUAAAUUAGUUCAGCAAUUGUGGAAGACUGUGUGGAGAUUCCUCAAGGAUCUAGAACCAGAAAUGCCAUUUGACCGAGCAAUCCCAUUACUGGCUAUAUACCCAAAGGAUUAUAAAUCAUUCUACUAUAGAGACACAUCCACCUGUAUGUUGAUUGCAGCACUGUUCACAAUAGCAAAGACUUGGAACCAAUGCAAAUGCCCAUCAAUGAUCGGCUGGAUAAAGAAAAUGUGGCACAUAUACACCGUGAAAUACUAUGUAGCCAUAAAAAAGGAUGAGUUCAUGUCCUUUGCAGGGAUAUGGAUGAAGCUGGAAACCAUCAUUCUCUGCAAACUAAUACAGGAACAGAAUGCCAAACACCACAUGUUCUCACUCAUAAGUGGGAGUUGAACAAUGAGAACACAUGAAUACCGGGAGGGAACAUCACACACCAGGGCCUGUCAGAGGGUCGGGGGCUAGGGAAGGGAUAGCAUUAGGAGAAAUACCUAAUGUAGAUUAUGGGUUGAUGGGUGCAGCAAACCACCAUGGCACAUGUAUAGCUAUGUAACAAACCUGCACGUUCUACACAUGUAUCCCAGAACUUAAAGCAUAAGUAAAAUAAAAAAAUAAUUAAAUGAGGAAGAAGAGUCAAAUUUUUGUGCAGAAAAAUUUGAAAGAAUUUAUGUAGAUACUACUUCCUCAAUGAGGAAGAGCAUAACUCUAUGCUCUUUAAGUCGGACAUGAACAUACUCAUUUCUUUCAAAAGAGUACAAUAUGAAAAGAGGGAAAAAGAAUAACUGUACAGUAAAGAAACCUGACAAUUGCUACCUUGGCCAAGUGACCCAGGUCAACAUCAACAGUGAUAGUGACGUUUAUGUCAUGUCCACUUGAAAUGAUGUGAUUAAAAAAAGGCACUUUACCUCUGUGUUCUUCUUCCUAUUCCCAUAAUUCCAG